GAUGAACGCUGGCGGCGUGCCUAAUACAUGCAAGUCGAGCGAACAGACGAGGAGCUUGCUCCUCUGACGUUAGCGGCGGACGGGUGAGUAAUACGUGGAUAACCUACCUAUAAGACUGGGAUAACUUCGGGAAACCGGAGCUAAUACCGGAUAAUAUAUUGAACCGCAUGGUUCAAUAGUGAAAGACGGUUUUGCUGCCACUUAUAGAUGGAUCCGCGCCGCAUUAGCUAGUUGGUAAGGUAACGGCUUACCAAGGCGACGAUGCGUAGCCGACCUGAGAGGGUGAUCGGCCACACUGGAACUGAGACACGGUCCAGACUCCUACGGGAGGCAGCAGUAGGGAAUCUUCCGCAAUGGGCGAAAGCCUGACGGAGCAACGCCGCGUGAGUGAUGAAGGUCUUCGGAUCGUAAAACUCUGUUAUUAGGGAAGAACAAAUGUGUAAGUAACUAUGCACGUCUUGACGGUACCUAAUCAGAAAGCCACGGCUAACUACGUG
rnacentral:rRNA from 1 species